rnacentral:ncRNA from 1 species
CGGGGAAUGAAGUUCUCCCCUGGCCAUGGCCUAAACCGCUGAAAAGCUGAUGACUUCUGCAAA